AAUUGUCACUUUCUCAGUCUCUCUGUCCAAGUGCUCUCCACUUAUUCAACUAAACUCUAUAUGUGGUUACUUUGUAAAUGAUAUUGAAACUCGAAAGGGAAACCUCCUCUUGGAUCACUUUCUUCUCCCCCCUUUCAUUUUCUCUUUAACUAUAACAACAACUAUCUAUGUCAAUUUCAAGUGGGAUAUCAUAAAAAUUCCCGACCUUCAUUGUAUUGAUGAAGACUCUUAAAAGAAAUUCAAGAAAAAAGAAAUUGAC
rnacentral:lncRNA from 1 species